rnacentral:pre_miRNA from 1 species
UCACCUAAUCGGGGUCAAAUUGACUCUAGUAGGGAGUCCGACUUUUAAGGGCGACUCCCUAACGGAGUCAGAUUGACUUCCUUAAGGUCACUCAUCGA